UACAACUUUUGCAUUUUUUUUUUAUAAAACUAUUCUAUAAAUAGGUUAUAAUAGGUUAAUAUCAGCAACAUCUAUGACAAGUUCUAAAAAGGUUGACGUAUUUAAAAGAGUUAUGCCCCUAAGAAGUAUUAUUUUUUUUAGAAAAUGUCCUGUGAGCUGAACAUAUACAUGUAUCUCUGGGUUUUUUUGUUGCUGUCCUUGAGUAUAAAAGUUUCAAAGAAACAAAGUUUCAGUUUGACUUGAGAGUUGAGAAACUAUGAUAAUUGCAAAAGACAAGAAAAAAUUCUGAAUCACUGAAUAUAGACCAUCAAACAGAGCUGCCCCUUCUGCCAAAACAAAUCUCAAUUUUUCGGAAAACAUUUGAAAUACUCUGUAGAGCCUCCAGGGUUACUAUGACAUGUCUUCCCAUUUGAAAAUUUCUGUAUUCGGUCCUGUCUUUCAUGUAUUGUCAAAAUAUUAAUUUACAUGUAUAUAUAUAAGAAUUGCACUUCCAAUUUUAAUCAGGACGCAAAAAUAAGCCAACUUGAAGGUUCUGUGUUGAAGGCUGUAUUGUAAAAUAAUACUGCUUACUUUAACUUCAUUGUCUUGGAUGGAGAGUUGUCUCAUUGGCACUCGUACCACAUCUUCUUAUUUGUGUACUAGUGUUGUACUCAUGUUGUUUUUGUAUCAGGAUUAUAUGUUCUACUAACCUCUAGUUUUCAGUAAGUGUUUAUUUCUGCCAAUUUAAAGCACAAAAGUGCACACGCUAAAAUGUAUCGCCUUCUUUAC
rnacentral:lncRNA from 1 species